rnacentral:rRNA from 1 species
AUUGAACGCUGGCGGCAGGCCUAACACAUACAAGUCGAACGAGUGGCGGACGGGUGAGUAAUGUCUGGGAAACUGCCUGAUGGCGGGGGAUAACUACUGGAAACGGUAGCUAAUACCGCAUACUAUCAGAUGAGCCUAUGUCGGAUUAGCUAGUUGGUGGGGUAAAGGCCAACCAAGGCGACGACCCGUAACUGGUUUGAGAGGAUGACCAGUCACACUGGAACUGAGACACGGCCCAGACUCCUACGGGAGGCAGCAGUGGGGAAUAUUGGACAAUGGGGGAAAGCCUGAUCCAGCCAUGCAGCGUGUGUGAAGAGGGUCUUCGGGUUGUAAAGUACUUUAAGUUGGGAGGCGUUACCAACAGAAUAAGCACCGGCUAACUUCGUGCCAGCAGCCGCGGUAAUAC